GCCCGGGUGGCUCAGUCGGUUAAGCCUCUGACUUCAGCUCAGGUCAUAAUCUUGCGGUUUCGUGAGUUUGAGCCCCACGUCGGGCU
rnacentral:tRNA from 1 species